GACGAAUGCUGGCGGCGUGCUUAACACAUGCAAGUCGAACGACGUGGCGAACGGGUGAGUAAUACGUGGGUAACCUGCCCUCCUUUUUGGGAUAAGCCUUGGAAACGGGGUCUAAUACCGAAUAAAGGGGGAUGGGCUCGCGGCCUAUCAGCUUGUUGGUGGGGUGAUGGCCUACCAAGGCGACGAUCAGUAGCGGGUCUGAGAGGAUGAUACGCCACACUGGGACUGAGACACGGCCCAGAAUCCUACGGGAGGCAGCAGGGGGGAAUUUUGGAAAAUGGGCGCAAGCCUGAUCCAGCCAUGCCGCGUGUCUGAAGAAGGCCUUCGGGUUGUAAAGGACUUUUGUGAGGAAAACGGUACCUAAAGAAUAAGCACCGGCUAACUACGUGCCAGCAGCCGCGGUAAUAC
rnacentral:rRNA from 1 species